rnacentral:rRNA from 1 species
UACGUAGGUGGCAAGCGUUGUCCGGAUUUACUGGGCGUAAAGCGCGUGCAGGCGGUUUGGUAAGUCGUGCGUGAAAGCCCCCGGCUCAACCGGGGAGGGUCGUCGGGGACCGCACCGCUUGAGGGCGGUAGGGGCUGGUGGAAUGCCUGGUGUAGUGGUGAAAUGCGUAGAGAUCAGGCGGAACACCCGUGGCGAAGGCGGCCAGCUGGGCCGUCCCUGACGCUGAGGCGCGAAGGCGUGGGGAGCGAACGGG